AUGUUCAAAAGUGCCUGCAGAAACAACUCUAUUUUUCAGAAAUUUUGGACACCUCCGGUUUGACAGAUCCUAAAACUGGUGUCUCUGGACCCAGUUCAAAAACAAUGACUUUUCAUGAAGCAUGAAAAAAGUUGUUGCAGCAUGGACUGAAUUUCCUUAUUUCUGCGUGAGGCAGUUUAAACUUUCCUGCAAGAUUUUGCUUCAUGUUAAAGGUCAGUAACAAUCUGCAAAGAGGGCACAAGGCAAAGAUUUCCAGCUUUCUCUGCAUGGCACUUGUGAAUCCUCAGCAAGAAACACUCUGUGGUAUUCUGCUCCUUUUUACCAACAUGGACAAGAGGAAUGGUGCCUUCCUGAGGCUAUUAAAAAAACAGGAUGGGCUUACUACACUGUUCUUUAGACUAACUCCAGCCUAUUUCAAACAUUUUGAGAUAUACUUGAGAUCAGUUUGAACAAAAAAAAAAAAAAAA